GCUUACGGCCAUACCACCCUGAACACGCCCGAUCUCGUCCGAUCUCGUCCGAUCUCGGAAGCUAAGCAGGGUCGGGCCUGGUUAGUACUUGGAUGGGAGACCGCCUGGGAAUACCAGGUGCUGUAAGCU
rnacentral:rRNA from 1 species